AAGCCCGAAGGUCUUUCUCUCUGCCCUUCCAUCCCACUGUGCUGCUCAUCACAGAGGGAGCAGGAUGAGACCCUGCCAGGGGAGGAGGGAGGCAGGGAUGCGGGGGAGAGAUGUGUGUGCAGAGAGGGGACUGCGGGAAACAGCCGUGAUGGGGGGAGAAGAGCACCUGACACAGAUGGCAGGAGAGUGAGAAGGCAGAAAGUAUUUUUUUAAAUAAAAAAAAACCCCAUGGGUGAAAGAGCGAUAAGGAAGAAAAAAGGGAGAGACUAAAAAAAUGGCUCCAAAGCAGAGAUAAGAGAGGAGUUAGUGAGAGAAGAAGUAAAAUUAAGCACGAUAAGGCCUGAUAGAAGUGAGGGAAGGCAGCAAGCCCGGGUGGGGGCUGCGGGGCGCAGGGAUUGAUGAGGAGGGGCGGGGGGUCGGCAGGUGUAAAUGCCUCUCCCGCAGGGUGCUUGUAGCUCUGCUCCUGCCCUGGCCAGGCACCUGCCAGCCACAGCCCGUGGUGGUGGUGGGGAAAUAUGGAGCCUGGUGGGGAGGGAUGGGUGAUGUGCCCGGCUUGGAAGUGGCGAAUAACCCUCAUCCUCCUCCCUGCCACAUCCCCACACGGUGCCUGUCAUGGAGAUCCCCAUGGGGCUCCCACUCUGGAAGCAGAGGAGCUCUUUUAAUCACACCAUUAAAAAAUGAUAACCGGAGUAAACUGAGAAGCUGUUUCGGGUUGCCGGUGUUAAUAGCUGCCCAGGAUCACACAGACCCCCUCUACUUCUCUGCCGUUUGUUGAACUGCUGAUGGAGUUAUUGUCAGUCCUGGCAACAAGGCUCAGCCUGAGGUUUCUGCACCUAACGUGCUGCUGGACACGGCUUUCUCGGCUACGCUCGCCUUGGCAUCUUCCUCUGGAGGGCUGAGGCCCUGGUGCAUCCCUGCCUCUCCCGGGGGGCAGUGCCAAGGGUCCCUGGAGCAGGAUCUGUGGUGCAGGUGGAACCACGUGUGCCCGCCUUCAGUUUCGAGCCCAGAUACAGUCUGCAAGCCUGGAAGCUAAAUUCCCUUGGAUGUGCCUGGGGGUGCUUGCGAGUCUGGCUGCCAGCGGGCAGGGCUGACGACCACCAUGACAGUCCUGACAGGCAGAGUUAUAUCUGACACCAGAGUCCAUCAGACAAAGUUCUUACAAACACAGGAGUCCUGAAGACAUCGGCUGAACGUUUUCCUGGUAUAAAGAAGAGGAGGAGAAAGAGGUG